CGUAGGGGCGAGCGUUGUCCGGAAUUAUUGGGCGUAAAGAGCGUGUAGGCGGUUCGGUAAGUCUGCUGUGAAAUCUUGGGGCUCAACCCUGAGCGUGCAGCGGAUACUGCCGGGCUAGAGGGUGGUAGAGGCGAGUGGAAUUCCGAGUGUAGCGGUGAAAUGCGCAGAUAUUCGGAGGAACACCAGUAGCGAAGGCGGCUCGCUGGGCCACACCUGACGCUGAGACGCGAAAGCGUGGGAGCGAACAGGAUU
rnacentral:rRNA from 1 species